rnacentral:tRNA from 1 species
GCUCCUGUAGCCCAACGGCAGAGGCAACUGGCUUAAGCCCAGUUAAGUGUGGGUUCGACUCCCUCCAGGAGCACCA